GUGGUGGCUCAGCGGUAGAGUGCUUGCCUAGCAUGCGUGAGGCACUGGGUUUGAUCCUCAGCACCACA
rnacentral:tRNA from 1 species